GGCACCGCGUUGGGAGAAUCUGGCCCAGUGCCGGUGCCGAAGGAGCAACCGCCCCGGUAAACUCUCAGGCCCCAGGACCGGCGCGGCAAA
rnacentral:ncRNA from 1 species